ACGAACGCUGGCGGCGUGCUUAACACAUGCAAGUCGAACGGAAAGGCCCUGCUUUUGUGGGGUGCUCGAGUGGCGAACGGGUGAGUAACACGUGAGUAACCUGCCCUUGACUUUGGGAUAACUUCAGGAAACUGGGGCUAAUACCGGAUAGGAGCUCCUGCUGCAUGGUGGGGGUUGGAAAGUUUCGGCGGUUGGGGAUGGACUCGCGGCUUAUCAGCUUGUUGGUGGGGUAGUGGCUUACCAAGGCUUUGACGGGUAGCUGGCCUGAGAGGGUGACCGGCCACAUUGGGACUGAGAUACGGCCCAGACUCCUACGGGUGGCAGCAGUGGGGAAUAUUGCACAAUGGGCGGAAGCCUGAUGCAGCAACGCCGCGUGCGGGAUGACGGCCUUCGGGUUGUAAACCGCUUUCGCCUGUGACGAAGCGUGAGUGACGGUAAUGGGUAAAGAAGCACCGGCUAACUACGUG
rnacentral:rRNA from 1 species